rnacentral:lncRNA from 1 species
GUGCGCCAGACCCCCGGCCUCCAGCCUCCAGCCCCUUCCAGACCCACAGGCGCUCUGCUGGACGAGCUGCUGGAACCGCUGGCCCCUGUCUCCACUGGUGAGGCUCCUGGGAUCCGGGGGCGCGUGGCGCUGUGGUGUGUGUGUGGGGGCACCAGCAAGGGCCGGUCACAGCCCACCUGCGGACAGACCCCGGCACAGCUCGGACUCGCUCUCUCCCGACUCCUGCUGGGUAACUCAGGCUGAGACUGCUGCGCCCCCUGGAGCCUGGGGAGUCCAUUCCCUCAGAGCCCCACAAUCCCAGCUGUUUUUCUGUCAACCGGCUCGUCCUGGAAUCCACCAGCUCGGUCUAACCCUAUCUGUCUUUCCCCGGUCCCUCCUGUCAGCAAGGCCUCUCUGACAGCAACACCGCGUUCUGGGCACCGCAGUUUAAUCACCCGGCACGUCUAGCCUGUGACAACGCGCGAGCAAGCAGGACGACAAAUAAAACCCACAGCAGGAUGAGCGGCUGCGUCUCUGCCAU